UGCAAAGAGCAGACGAGUC
rnacentral:snRNA from 1 species